AUUGAACGCUAGCGGCAUGCCUUACACAUGCAAGUCGAACGGAGUGGCGAACGGGUGAGUAAUGCCUCGGAACCUGCCUGGUAGUGGGGGAUAACUUCCGGAAACCGUCGCUAAUACCGCAUACUAUCAGAUUGGCCUAGAUCGGAUUAGCUAGUUGGUGGGGUAACGGCCGACCAAGGCGACGAUCCGUAACUGGUUUGAGAGGAGGAUCAGCCACAAGGGAACUGAGACACGGUCCAGACUCGGACGGGAGGCAGCAGUGGGGAAUAUUGGAAAAUGGGGGAAAGCCUGAUCCAGCCAUGCCGCGUGUGCGAUGAAGGCCUUCGGGUUGUAAAGCACUUUAGGCAGGGAGGCGGUACCAGCAGAAUAAGCACCGGCUAACUUCGUGCCAGCAGCCGCGGUAAUAC
rnacentral:rRNA from 1 species